rnacentral:rRNA from 1 species
GACGAACGCUGGCGGCGUGCCUAACACAUGCAAGUCGAACGGAAAGGCCCUGCUUUUGUGGGGUGCUCGAGUGGCGAACGGGUAAGUAACACGUGAGUACCCUGCCCUUGACUUUGGGAUAACUUCAGGAAACUUGGUCUCAUACCCGAUAGGAUCUCCUGCUGCAUGGUGGGGGUUGGAUAGUUUCGGCGGUUGGGGAUGGACUCGCGGCUUAUGAGCUUGUUGGUGGGGUAGUGGCUUACCAAGGCCUUGACGGGUAGCCGGCCUGGGAGGGUGACCGGGCACAUGGCGACUGAGAUACGGCACAGACGGGAACAGGAGGCAACGGGGGAGAGUAUGAUACAGGGAGCGGGAGUGUGUGGAGAAAAAGCUGCGUGGGGGAAGAAGGCAAGGGGGUAGGGAAGCGCAGUAGCUUGAGACGAAGCGGGAGUGACGGUACUGGGAGAAGAAGCACCGGCUAACUACGUG